rnacentral:rRNA from 1 species
AAACCCGGUGAUCUAGCCAUGGGCAGGUUGAAGGUUGGGUAACACUAACUGGAGGACCGAACCGACUAAUGUUGAAAAAUUAGCGGAUGACUUGUGGCUGGGGGUGAAAGGCCAAUCAAACCGGGAGAUAGCUGGUUCUCCCCGAAAGCUAUUUAGGUAGCGCCUCGUGAACUCAUCUUCGGGGGUAGAGCACUGUUUCGGCUAGGGGGCCAUCCCGGCUUACCAAACCGAUGCAAACUCCGAAUACCGAAGAAUGUUAUCACGGGAGACACACGGCGGGUGCUAACGUCCGUCGUGAAGAGGGAAACAACCCAGACCGCCAGCUAAGGUCCCAAAGUCAUGGUUAAGUGGGAAACGAUGUGGGAAGGCAUAGACAGCCAGGAUGUUGGCUUAGAAGCAGCCAUCAUUUAAAGAAAGCGUAAUAGCUCACUGGUCGAGUCGGCCUGCGCGGAAGAUGUAACGGGGCUAAACCAUGCACCGAAGCUGCGGCAGCGACGCUUAGGCGUUGUUGGGUAGGGGAGCGUUCUGUAAGCCGUUGAAGGUGACCUGUGAGGGUUGCUGGAGGUAUCAGAAGUGCGAAUGCUGACAUAAGUAACGAUAAAGCGGGUGAAAAGCCCGCUCGCCGGAAGACCAAGGGUUCCUGUCCAACGUUAAUCGGGGCAGGGUGAGUCGACCCCUAAGGCGAGGCCGAAAGGCGUAGUCGAUGGGAAACAGGUUAAUAUUCCUGUACUCGGUGUUACUGCGAAGGGGGGACGGAGAAGGCUAGGCUAGCCGGGCGACGGUUGUCCCGGUUUAAGCGUGUAGGGGG